GCCAUUUCCUCCAAUCCUAAUGUUUCCCUCAUGAAUUAUGCACUUUCAGCUGCCACUACUUACAUACGUGGGCCCUUGUGGCUUGUUUCCCAGGACCAGCAUGUGAUUAUGGAUCAUAAAAAUGAACAUUGCUCCUUCGCAAAGGAAUUAAGAAACAGAUGCCCAUUAAAAAGGAAAAAGGUUGCUUUUAGUGGCUGAAGUAAAGCAUCGCAGCAGACCUGGUGUGUGGAGAAGCAGUUUCCUAUGGACAAAUGCAAGAGGGAUGUUCCAGGAGCAAGGGCCACCACAGGAAAACUUCAGAGCCAUUUCUCUGAGAAGCAAAUGUGACAGGCAUAGCAGUGGAAAGGUGAUGUUAUGAGACAGAGGAGUGCGUAAAAACAGAUGCAGAGCUGUAAAAGACCUCAAAGUACAGAAUUACUGAAAAGUAGUCUAUGCCAUAAAAUGGACUUGAUGUAGAAAUCCCACAACUAAUGGAAACUCAUGCCAUGAAGUCCAGACUGUAGAUGUAAGGCAGCUCUGUGCCACAGUGACCUGUCACUGCAUUUUCUCGGCAGGGCUUAUUAGCUUGGGCAUGGCACUGUCUGAUGUGGGAACAGUGCAUCAAAUGUGAACUGGCUGGGGUCCAGGCAGCUCAGUGUAUCCAUGUAUCACACGCCCCAGCACACCAGCACUGGAAUUAGCUUAGACAGACCUCACUUGGGUUUGUUUUAAUUGGUCCAUAAAUGAUAAGAAACCCUCUUUUUUUCUCCCGUCCAACUAAUCUCCAGUUUAAUAAAGGAAG
ensembl:lncRNA